AGCCUGGAGAACAAGAGUGAGACUCCAUCUCAAAAAAAAAGAAAAAAAAUAGGCAGAAUUAAAAGUGAAUUGUGUGCAAUUUAAGUGCUAAGAAGUAGCAUCAACUGGAUGUCAUCCCUUUCAUAUUUUCAUGAGUAACCUCAUCCCAAAAAAGAUUUCAGUCCAGGCUUCGUUAAUAUAAUCAUUGCUUAAAAAAUUCUUUGGGCUCAAACUGGAGAAGGAGAGAUUUUUUUCCUGUUGAAUUCAGAUGAAACUAGCAUCUUGGAAUGCUUGCUCUGGCAGGUACUGAGCCAGGUCCAUUCACAUUAUCACUACCUCAUGCAGUUUGCACAGCAAUUUGCAGGGAGGGUGGUGUUAUUCUCAUUUUUACACAUUUGAACAUUGAUGCUCAGAGCAGUUAAGUGACAAGCAGCAGUAAGUGUGGCAUAUUAAUGGGAAAAAGUUUCCGAGAUUGAAUUCAAAUGCCACUACCAUCCACUAGCUCACAAAAGAAGAGCUUCCUGCAGAAUGGCAGUAACAAUUGUUGAUCAUUCCUUCACACCUGACCCCUCGCCUUUAAGAACUUGUCUAUUUAUAAGUAAUUUAAGAAGCUAUGUUUCUCUCCAUCUGUUUAGGUAGAGAAGAGCAUAUAGAGGGAAUUGUGAGUAAGCCAGAUUAAUGCACCAGAAAAAGUAGAAACUGCACCAGAAAAAGUAGAAACUGCACCAGAAAAAGUAGAAACUGUACCAAGAACAGGAAGGACGGAUUGGCACCAGUGAAUUCAAACAAUAACCAGUGCCAGCUGGAGCCCCAUCAUGGUGAGGCUCUACAAUGAGUUCAUGGAGAAGACUGUGGAUGGGUCAUGGACAAGACUUCCAGGUUGUUGGUGCUCUGUGCAAUUCCUUAAAGAAGCAGACCUUACUAAGAUUGCUAAAGCUGUCCCUGCCAUCUUCUUACAAAUGAAGUGACGCAGAUGCAAGGUGCUGCAAGGCCCACCUCCUCCUGCUCUGACAGGCAGACAGGAAACCAAAG
rnacentral:lncRNA from 1 species